rnacentral:misc_RNA from 1 species
UUUCCGUAGGUGAACCUGCGGAAGGAUCAUUACAGUAUGAACUAUGGGAGUUGUUAGCUGGCCUUCUGGCAUGUGCUCGCUCUCUAUUUCAAUCCACACACACCCAUGUGCACCUUGACGAGUCCCCCUCCCUGAUCGCCUCUUUGUAGGAACAGGAGUCGUUUCAUGGCAUAAUUGCUGUGAAACUGAGAGUCGGCUUGUCUCUUCAACAUUAAUAAAUACCAGUCUUAAAGCAAAUCAAUUGAGCUCUAUGGAGCUAUAACAAAAUACAACUUUCAACAACGGAUCUCUUGGCUUCCACAUCGAUGAAGAACGCAGC